rnacentral:lncRNA from 1 species
AGAACUGUGCAACCCACGCAGAACCCUCAGCCCAGUGCCCACCCAGCUCAGCAGCCCUGGAGACCUCCCUCAAGGACCCAGGCAGCUUCCCACCGGGAGCCACAGCUGGGUGGGCAUGUGGGCCCCAGCCUCGUCUCCACUAACUCAUGCAGACUUGCAAGCCUCUUCUCCCUCCGUGCACUGCAGGUGUCUCACUUCAAAGUGGGGAUUAGCACCAGCGGACCCCGGGCACCUGGGCAAGGUGCGUGAGAAGGGGCUCACACCACGGAGAGCCCUCGGGGGCGGUCGCUGCAUCACUGUCUUGCUAUUAUUUUGCAAAACUGGAAGUUUCGCCAGUAAUGCCAGCUCGAGGAGAGGGCAGAUCCCAAGAAGACUCUAAAGGGUGCCUUCCCUGGACAUCUAUUAGCCCAAAGCCACCAGGACCUCAGCUGAGCCGGAGUGGUUUUCCCACACCGAAGGCCAGGGUUGGGGCUCGCCAAGGCGACUCCAGGAGCUCCACGUCUUCAGAAACUCCAGAUUCACAAGGACUCACUGAAGACCUGCCAUGUGCCCGGCACU